GUAUAUAAUUAUCUGUGGUUUGACUGAUGUUGAACAUCAUUCUGACACUGUUCAUGUUCCAUCACUUUAUCUAACAAGGUUAGAACAGAAAACACAUUAAUACAUUCUCUCCUUUAACUUUUUUCAGGUGGCCAUGCUCUUGGUUCUUUUUAUUGAAUAGCAUUGAGCAACAAAAUUGAAAAAUAACACUUGCAGAACAUUUUCAUUGUAAAUUUGAUCAAUGGGUUCUAGAUUUGUGGAAGGAGAACAAUCAUCACUCACUGACGAUUAGGAUGCCUUGAUUUCGACGACUGAUGUUGAGCUUCUCAAGCGAGCUUGGCGUAAUGAAAAGGCAGCCCCCCCUGAGAUUCUUCGUUUUGAAUCUGAUUUGAUCAACCGCGUCAAAGGACAGAUUGAAUUGAUGGUUGAGGACCACUUCAACAAAUUUGGAAUGGACAUUUGCAGAGAUCUCGAAGGUGAAGAUGAAAUAAGAAUUUUCAGACAUUGGCAGGACCAUUGUCGCUGCUUGCCGAAAGUGCAAUAAUCCUAAGGUUCACCUUGAUAGUCUUAGCUUCCACUUUCAAUAGUUAUGAUAUCCAAUUCUCCUCCCGUUGCUUUUUUUGUGAGAGGUGCCUUAUGACUAUGCAACUGAUGCUUCUUUGUAGCAGCAGGGACCUUUGUUGGUUUAGUUUGACGAGUUUAUGUGUUUUGAUGAAUUUUUUAGUGGUUUUGCUGUUAUAUCUCUUUUGUUUGCCACAUUGUAAUGGUCUAAUUUGGUUAUGUUACAAACUUCUUGGUGUUGAACACUUCUGUAAUCUUUAAUUUUGUACUAUCAAUCUUAUUUCAAAAUUCUGUUACUAUGACAAUGGUGGUUUGAACUAAAUCAUUGGAGUAUGGUGGAUCUGAUAUGAUAACUAUGAUAGUGUAUGUGACAAUGGUUUU